GAUCCUGGCUCAGGAUGAACGCUGGCGGCGUGCUUAACACAUGCAAGUCGAGCGAAGCACCUAAGAAAGAUUCUUCGGAUGAAUUCUUUUGUGACUGAGCGGCGGACGGGUGAGUAACGCGUGGGUAACCUGCCUCAUACAGGGGGAUAACAGUUAGAAAUGACUGCUAAUACCGCAUAAGACCACGGUACUGCAUGGUACAGUGGUAAAAACUCCGGUGGUAUGAGAUGGACCCGCGU
rnacentral:rRNA from 1 species